rnacentral:rRNA from 1 species
UACAUGUGGGGCAAGCGUUGUUCGGAAUUACUGGGCGUAAAGGGCUCGUAGGCGGCCAACUAAGUCACACGUGAAAUCCCCAGGCUUAACCUGGGAACUGCGUGUGAUACUGGAUGGCUUGAAUUCGGGAGAGGGAUGCAGAAUUCCAGGUGUAGCGGUGAAAUGCGUAGAUAUCUGGAGGAAUACCGGUGGCGAAGGCGGCAUCCUGGACCGACAUUGACGCUGAGGAGCGAAAGCUAGGGGAGCAAACGGG